rnacentral:rRNA from 1 species
AUUGCGGAAUGGGCGGAACCCUGAUGCAGACACGCCGCGUGAUUGAAGAAGGUCUGCAGAUUGUAAAGUUCUUAUCUUCGGGGACGAUAAUGACGGUACCCGAGGAGGAAGCCACGGCUAACUACGUGCCAGCAGCCGCGGUAAUACGUAGGUGGCGAGCAUUAUCCGGAUUUACUGGGCGUAAAGGGUGCGUAGGCGGAUUUUUAAGUGGGAUGUGAAAUACCCGGGCUCAACUUGGGUGCUGCAUUCCAAACUGGAAGUCUAGAGUGUGGGAGAGGAAAGUGGAAUUCCUAGUGUAGCGGUGAAAUGCGUAGAGAUUAGGAAGAACACCAGUGGCGAAGGCGACUUUCUGGACCAUAACUGACGCUGAGGCACGAAAGCGUGGGGAGCAAACAGGAUUAGAUACCCUGGUAGUCCACGCCGUAAACGAUGGAUACUAGGUGUGGGAGGUUUAACUCCUUCCGUGCCGCCGUUAACACAUUAAGUAUCCCGCCUGGGGAGUACGGUCGCAAGAUUAAAACUCAAAGGAAUGGACGG